rnacentral:rRNA from 1 species
AGAGAGAGACAUGCGCGCAUAUCAAUAAGCGGAGGAAAAGAAACUAACUAGGAUUCCCUUAGUAACGGCGAGUGAAGCGGGAAGAGCUCAAAUUUGAAAUCUUCAAGGUUUUACCUUGACGAAUUGUAGUUUAAAGAAGUGUUUUCUGUUGGAGUUUUGGUAAAAGUUCUUUGGAAUAGGACAUCAUAGAGGGUGAGAAUCCCGUAUUUGACCAUUAUCUUCCAGCUGUGUGAUACACUUUCAAAGAGUCGGAUUGUUUGGGAAUGCAGUCCAAAAUGGGUGGUAAAUUUCAUCUAAAGCUAAAUACUGGCGAGAGACCGAUAGCGAACAAGUACCGUGAGGGAAAGAUGAAAAGAACUUUGAAAAGAGAGUUAAACAGUACGUGAAAUUGUCAAAAGGGAAGCGUUUGACACCAGUGUUGUUUUCUCGAAAAUCAAUUAAAAAAGGCUGGAUUUUGUGUUGUAUUGACUUUAUCAAGCUUUCUUCACUCUUUUCUUGUCCUUUUUAAUGCACUUUUCGUUUAACAAGUCAACAUCAGUUUCUUUUGUUGUAAAAGAGGUCAUUGGAAGGUGGCUUUCUUUUCGGAGAAAGUGUUUAUAGCCUUUGGCCUCUGCAAUCGGAGAGAUUGAGGUCUGCAGCGUAGAUCCUUCGGGGUUAGAUAGCAUUUGUGCUAAGUUAUAGCCUUUCAUAGACAACUUGUUGACUAUGAUCAGUCAUGUAGCUUACUCGCUUAUGCUAUUUUACCUACGCUUAGGAUGUUGACAGCAGUAUAGACUGU